rnacentral:siRNA from 1 species
UAAAGUAUAAACAAAUGCGCC